rnacentral:rRNA from 1 species
AGUGUGUGUGUUAGUGGAAGCGUCUGGAAAGGCGCGCGAUACAGGGUGACAGCCCCGUACACAAAAAUGCACAUGCUGUGAGCUCGAUGAGUAGGGCGGGACACGUGGUAUCCUGUCUGAAUAUGGGGGGACCAUCCUCCAAGGCUAAAUACUCCUGACUGACCGAUAGUGAACCAGUACCGUGAGGGAAAGGCGAAAAGAACCCCGGCGAGGGGAGUGAAAAAGAACCUGAAACCGUGUACGUACAAGCAGUGGGAGCACAGAGCAAUCUGUGUGACUGCGUACCUUUUGUAUAAUGGGUCAGCGACUUAUAUUCUGUAGCAAGGUUAACCGAAUAGGGGAGCCGAAGGGAAACCGAGUCUUAACUGGGCGUUAAGUUGCAGGGUAUAGACCCGAAACCCGGUGAUCUAGCCAUGGGCAGGUUGAAGGUUGGGUAACACUAACUGGAGGACCGAACCGACUAAUGUUGAAAAAUUAGCGGAUGACUUGUGGCUGGGGGUGAAAGGCCAAUCAAACCGGGAGAUAGCUGGUUCUCCCCGAAAGCUAUUUAGGUAGCGCCUCGUGAAUUCAUCUCCGGGGGUAGAGCACUGUUUCGGCAAGGGGGUCAUCCCGACUUACCAACCCGAUGCAAACUGCGAAUACCGGAGAAUGUUAUCACGGGAGACACACGGCGGGUGCUAACGUCCGUCGUGAAGAGGGAAACAACCCAGACCGCCAGCUAAGGUCCCAAAGUCAUGGUUAAGUGGGAAACGAUGUGGGAAGGCCCAGACAGCCAGGAUGUUGGCUUAGAAGCAGCCAUCAUUUAAAGAAAGCGUAAUAGCUCACUGGUCGAGUCGGCCUGCGCGGAAGAUGUAACGGGGCUAAACCAUGCAC